CCCUUAGAUGUUCUGGGCCGCACGCGCGCUACACUGAUGCAUUCAACGAGUCUAAAACCUGGUCUGAUAGGGCUGGGUAAUCUUUUGAAUGUGCAUCGUGAUUGGGAUAGAUGAUUGCAAUUCUUCAUCUUCAACGAGGAAUGCCUAGUAAACGCAAGUCAUCAGCUUGCAUUGAUUACGUCCCUGCCCUUUGUACACACCGUCCGUCGCUACUACAGAGUGCCCGUGUCCAAGAAACGGUCGGACCUGUGCGGCCUCUCCGGGCGACCGGAGGGCCGUUACGGGGAAGACCCUUUAUUUGACGCGGGUCGAUGAAGUAAAAGUCGUAACA
rnacentral:rRNA from 1 species